GCCGCACUGCUAUCUCAGCGCGGGGGCGGGCGGGCGCCCACGGAAGUGGGAGUGGGUGGGGCCGCUCCGGCGGUCGGGCGCGUGGUCACGUGGGGCAGGCGGGGCGGGGCGCGCCUCUGCGGCGGCACAACGCGGCCGCGAGACUGGAGCACGUACCUGACGUCCUCACGCUUCCGCAGGCGCGGACGGGCUGCCGUCUGAGGCGGGGGCGGGCGGGGCUGACGCGUGAAGCCUGCCGCGUGUGACGUCAGCGCGCGGGGCGGGCUCCGGCUGCGGGUUCCCGCGCGGUCGCUGCCGCUGGCGGGGAGCUAGCGGUGCGUGUUCCAGCGCGGGUGUCCGCUUGCCGGCUUUUGGGAAGUUCCGGUUGGAUCCGAGCGCACUGCCGCGUGGGUGUGAUGGUGCGGCGCCGUGAGGCGGCUGCGGCGGACCGCGGAGGGGGGACGCUCCGUGUCUGGAGGUCUCUCGGCUGCUCGGGGGAGACAGGUCGGUCCGCCUAGUGCGCGGGGAGCGUGAGGACCUGCGGUUUCUGGGGGUCCCCGCCGGUGAUUACCUCACGGUCCGGACGCUCAGUCAGGGUCGGCCCCAGGGAAGCGCUGUGGAGCACUGGCUGCGUUCCGAGGGCCGGCAGCGGAGCGAGUCUCUCUCCUUCCUCCUCCGGUCUUCGUUGCCCGCAACCUUGAGCAUCCUUCCGAAGGGCGGGGGCUGGGAGCACACGCGCGGUUGCGGCCCUUGACUGGCGCUGUCACCUCGUGUCCCCCAAGCUCCCCCCACCCCAGAGUGACACCUCAUGGUGUACCUCGUGUCCCCCGAGCUCCUCCCCCGGAGUGACGACCUCAUGGUGUACCUCAUGUCCCCCAAGCUCCCUCCCCGGAGUGACGACCUCACGGUGAAUCUCGUGUCCCCCAAGUCCCUCCCCUGGAGUGAUACCUUAUGGUGUAUCUCGUGUCCCCCGAGCUCCACCCCCUGGAGUGCCGACCUCACAGUGUACCUCAUGUCCCCAGAGCUCUCCCCCCCGCCCCAACGAGUGAAGACCUCACAGUGUACCUCGUGUCCCCUGAGCUUCCCCCGCCUUGUGGUGGGGCCCUGGAGUUCUGACUUGAUGGUGUACCUCCUGUUGCACGAGCUCCUCUCCCCCAUGGCGGGGAUCCUGGAGUGAUGACUUGAUAACUAGGAUGGCUGCAGGGACGAAGCCUGGUAUCUUCAGGACAAAACCAUGACACUCCACAGACAGCUUUGCCACGUGGAGUGAAACCCCGGCAAGUCGAGGAAGACUGCCGGCUGGAGACGGAAGUGCAAUCCCGGCAUGGUCAGCGGAACAGGUCACAGACUCAGUGCUCCAGGAGUUCUCCCGGUGGGGGAAGCAUUUGCAUGUGCUGAUCGCAGUGCCCACAUCUCAUUAAUAGUUCAGCCGGGCUCUAAGUCCCGUGAGGGCCAUGGCCGUACUGGCAGUGUUUAUCAUCAUAUCUCCAGGCUGGCACAGUGCCUGAAUGAAUAGCCGAGACCUCCCUUCUCCUCUUCAGAUCUGUUAUAAUUAUGUUUGCAUGUUUGUGUGUGUGGCCAUGGAGAUUUCUAAACGUAUAUCAGAAACAUUGCUCUAGGAUCCAGAACACUCAGUUUUGGGCAAGGACACUCAACCUCAAGCAAGGGAAGAGGUUUUCCUUUUCUUGCUCUUUCCCGUAUUACAUUUACUUGUAAAUAUAUAAAAUGGCCAGUCUCAAGCCUUUUCCUCAGCAACAGCUAAAUGUGCUAAUGCCAAGUCAUACUCAAGACUAAGGUACAAAUGCAAGACAAUUAAUUACCUUGUUAACACAGGAAUGGGCAUGAACCUUUCGGUCCUGUGGUCUUUCCUCUAAUGAGCCCUAGAAUAAAAUCCUUUAAGGAUUUAUGAAUGAAUGCGAACGACAUAAAAAGUCUUGCACAUCUGCAAUGGUUUUUGGCCUGAGUGGCCUAGCGAUGUAAAAUACACUGAAGAGAAGUGUCCAUGUUGGACACCAGUCAACCUCCUGGUCUCAGCUGCCCUCAAAGUUCGGGCCACUUCCCUGUGCUUAAUUAUACCAGCAAGGCAGAACACAUCUCAUUCUGAACAGUCUAGUAACAGGCCCAGCUCAGUUAGGUUUUUGCUGGUAUUUUUAAACUCCUCAGUCUCCUGGAAGCUCUUCAUGUUACCUCCUUCCUCAUGUGCCGACACUUAACGAAAGUCACUGUUUUCAGAGGGAAGAAGAACAUCAUUGUGAGUGAUCUAAUAAAAAGCUCUAAAGUUUCAGAUUGUGCCCUUAACAUUUCAAGUUUCAGAGAAAAGAGCUGCCUUCUGUUUAAGGUCAUCAGAUGAACUUCGGAAGGCAUCUACUGAGUAAAUGAACACAACAAAAGAAAUAGUACAAGAUAAAAUGGAACUGCCGAUCAAAUGAGUUAUUUAGAAAAUAGUUGUUUUAAAAAGUCUGAGGAGAGAAAUGCUCUCUCCAUAGGCAUUUAUUCAGCAGCUGUGCUGGGGAUAGGGAGCAAGAGGAGACUGCCUUCACCAAGCCCGUGAAUAGGGUGCAUCUGAGGAGCUUGAAGUCAUGCCAUUUGCUGAUGAAGGAUGGAAGCAGGGAGUGGGCUGCAGUGGAAAUAAGGGGCAGAGUCAACACAUGAUUAUUUUGAAAGGCAUCUGGUUGCACUUGAGACCCAUGUCUGUCACAUGGUGUGCAUGACUUUUUCCUCAUAGUCAACAGAGUCCGAAGCUUUUCUAGAAUCCGCUGUUUUCUCGGUUGACAAAGAGUGCUUAAAAGCCUGGACUCCGGCAUCAACCCAUCCACCAGCUUGACUUUGUGAGUUUAGGCAAGUGAAUUAACCUUUCUGGCCUUCAGUCUCCUCAUCUGGAAAACAGCAUGUCUACCUCACAGGGAUGCCACGAGAAUGAAGCAAAUGGCCCAAUGGAAAGUUUGAGUUUGGUGCCUCACUUGGAGCAAUUCCUCAAAUAUCACAGCUCUCACUGAAACUACCUUUCCUACCUUCCUUUUCUGUUAUGUUCUUUCUAAAGGGUAAAUGAGUGAGGUUAAUGAGUUCUUCCUAAAGGGUUAAUGAGUGAGAAAAGAAAGUAGUGAUAUGCCCAGGACCAGAGUACAAUGAAAUAUAAAAGGCAUUUUAGAUCUGCUAUUAAUUUCUCUAAGGCAAGAAGCUAGGUAAAUGGCCUUUGAAACAAAGUAGAUCCCAUAAAACUGUAAACUGGUUCAUAAUAGUAUAUGAUUCAAAAACACGACAUCUGCAAAAUAAAUUUUGUAUUUCCAGGAAAACGUUAUCCGAAGCACAGACUACUAAUAACAUGCUCACAGAUGUACUCCCUAAUACAUGAUUUGAGAGUCUACUCUUUUUUGUGUGCGUGAAAUAUUAAGGGGAAUCUUUCCUUAGUAAUAUUUGCAUACCAAACAUGCAGAAGAAUCUGUGGAAACAGCUAAACAUUUAGUUAUGAUUAUAACGUGCAUCACUGGGUUAGGACCAGCCCUGUUCAGUCUGGCAUGCUUAAGAUGGACUUCUAUAUUAAGCUUCAAAUAAAAUAAUUCUGAUAAAUCUGA